rnacentral:rRNA from 1 species
CAGCAGCCACGGGAAUACAGAGGGUGCGAGCGUUAAUCGGAAUUACUGGGCGUAAAGGGCGCGUAGGCGGUUAGGAAGGUGUGAUGUGAAAGCCCUGGGCUUAUCCUAGGAAGUGCAUCGCAAACCAACUAGCUGGAGUAUAAGAGAGGGUGGCGGAAUUUCCGGUGUAGCGGUGAAAUGCGUAGGGAUCGGAAGGAACGUCAAUGGCGAAGGCAGCCACCUGGCUUAAUACUGACGCUGAGGCGCGAAAGCGUGGGGAGCGAACAGGAUUAGAUACCCCGGUAGUCCCUGUCUCUUAUAC